GGUGAGUAACACGUAGGUGACCUGCCCCGAAGCAGGGGAUAACGGCUCGAAAGGGCCGCUAAUACCCAAAAGGGUCGCGUAUCAAAGCGCGAUCAGAGUUACGGCGUUUCGGGAGGGGCCUGCGGCCCAUCAGCUAGUUGGUAGGGUAAUGGCCUACCAAGGCGACGACGGGUAGGGGACCUGAGAGGGUGACCCCCCACAUUGGCACUGACACACGGGCCAAACUCCUACGGGAGGCAGCAGUGAGGAAUAUUGCGCAAUGAGCGAAAGCUAGACGCAGCAACGCCGCGUGGACGAUGAAGGCCUUCGGGUCGUAAAGUCCUUUUCAGGGGGACGAGAGAGGACGGUACCCCUGGAAUAAGUCACGGCUAACUACGUGCCAGCAGCCGCGGUAAAACGUAGGUGGCAAGCGUUAUCCGGAUUCACUGGGCGUAAAGCGCCUGCGGGCGGUCCUGUAAGUGGGAUGUGAAAUCUCUUGGCUCAGCUGGGAGGAGCCGUUCCAUACUGCGGGUCUGGAGGGCAGAAGAGGGAAGCGGAAUUCCCGGUGUAGUGGUGAAAUGCGUAGAUAUCGGGCAGGAACACCAGUGGCGAAGGCGCCGUUCCUGGCCUGCUCCUGACGCUAAGAGACGAAAGCUAGGGGAGCGAACGGGGAUUAGAUACCCCGGUAGUCCUAGCCGUGAAACGAUGGAUACUAGGUGUCGGGUGGUGCUUAACGCCAUCGGUGCAGAAGCUAACACGUUAAGUUGGCCGCCUGACGCGUACGGUCGGAAGAUUA
rnacentral:rRNA from 1 species